CAAAAGCAUGUGUCUUAUCUGAUUUGACACUGAGUCAAUUUACAUAAUAUAGGACCUAACGGCAACACAUUGCAUCUAUAUAUAGAUAUAGCUAAUAUCAGAGUUGAACAAAUAUAAUUGCUAACAUUUUUCAACAAAGUACUCACUCGUGUUGAACUUCCCUCUCAGUCCACUCUGGUUUGGCACUCGUGUAAAGUCGACUACUGUAGAAAAACAGUGCACACUAAGUAGUCAAAUCAAAAUAUGAUUUAAAAAUAAACAAACAUAAAAUUGGGGCAAAAUACACAAAGGAUGGAGAAUUCUACCACACUUAAAACAGAACUUAAAUCUUUGUUAAUGUCCCCUUUAAGAUGAAUUUUACAGCAAACUGUGCAAUAUAACUUACUAGUCUUCUGGCAAAUGACUUCUGACCUACAACAGCACAAACGAUUGUAGUAAACAAAUAUUGAUUAUAAACAGCAAUAAAAAGUAGCACAACCAAUUAGGAAAAUAUUUUGGAGAUCGAAUAUGCAUGCCUUACUUACAGGUGGACUGUAAACAUAUGUCACUUCCUCCUCUGAAAUCGGAAUGAAAAAAGGACACGUUACAAGCUAUGCAACUUACAGAUGGACCAAAAAGCAUCCUGUUUGACAUGGUCAUUUUCUUGUGCAUUCCAAUACCCAAGUCGAUGGAAGUUGUAUUAUUGAGCUACAAAGUGGGGUAACUACAUCCAGAUGGUCUGUGUUUGGAGUAGAAAGUUAUGCUUCAUCCCCUCGAGCUCUUGAGGUCAUAUGUAGAGUUGCACAGGUGAGGCAUAUGGCGACCUCUGCAAAAUAUUUGCGGCUUGGAAACAUGUCCCGUGUCAAAAGUUUCCAACGUGUCGAUCAAUCACUUGGUUUCCAACACACAAAUGUUGACCAACCACCCAUCUUUAUUCACAUUUAGCGCAAUGCACUAGAAUAAAUAAUAAUCGUCCUAACACAUUUAGUCGAUGACUUCGCCCAUAGUUUGUGGGUGGGGCAUGUUGCGUGUCAAGAUUGGGCCACACCAAAUUUCUGCAACUGCCGCUGAAAUAGCUGGAUUAGCCUCCUAUGCGGUUGAACACAACUACUUCCAGUCCCCGUAAAGCUGUUCCAUAAAGUCCAUCUCCACAAUCUCAUUCCACUUCCUUGGCCCGCCACAGUGAAGAAAGACAGCACCCCAAAAAACAAGAAUUCUUCUAGUUUCUCCCCGAAAAGUGGACGCCACGGCUGCAAUAUGGCAAAUCCGGUCACAACCCACAGCAGCAGGAGCAGCAACAGCAGCAACAGCAGCAGAAAGAGGAGCAAGCACGGACUCCAUCGUGCUACACGCCACAUCUGCACAAAGAGGCAAGAAAUGCUUCAGCUCUCCGCAGGUAUUCUGGAUACACACGGGGAAAAUUAUUUACAAACUUUUCAAGAGAUACCAUGAUUUUUGCCCAGGCAUGCCUUGUGUUUUUUUUCCAUAAAAAUAAUUCUUUCAAACCGCAAUUCAAUUUGGUUUUCAUAGUUAAUUUUCAUUAUAUUUUUAUUCAUUAUUACAUUUGUCAGAUUCAAGCUAUUUCUGUGACCACAGUUGGAGUUUUCUUUUCGAGAGGCAGGGUAAACCUUGGAUUGGAUGACAGCCAAAUAAUACCAAGGCACAUAAACAAGCAGGCAUUCAAACCCUUUUGAGUGAUACAAACUAAAGGCCAUAAUACCCAGGCCACGGUUCAUUGUUUAAGUCAAGUCAAAUUUAUUUAAAUAGCCCUUAAUCUCACACACACACACACACACAGAACAACACACACACACACAUACACAGAGCUUACGGCUUUUUUGUGGUGGUGGCCAGGUUGCCCAAGUUCUUCCCUCCACUGCGACAGUCGAUUCUGACUUGACAGAAAUUCUUGCUCCAUGGUAUGCAGCUCAGUCUGCAGGGCCUCGCACUGUGCGAUCAUUCACAUUGACAAACAAUUUAGAGCAAUUUAGAGUCUUUGAAAUAUCUAAUAUUCUGCACAUCAUGUAUCAUCUUUAACCCUUGAAAUGAAUGGAAAUGCUAAUGAAUGUGUCCCCCCCUCAAAAAAAAAAACCCCAAAAAACAAAAA